rnacentral:rRNA from 1 species
AUUGAACGCUGGCUGCAGGCUUAACACAUGCAAGUCGAGCGGUAACAGGAGAAGCUUGCUUCUUGCUGACGAGCGGCGGACGGGUGAGUAAUACUUAGGAAUCUGCCCAGUAGUGGGGGAUAGCUCGGGGAAACUCGAAUUAAUACCGCAUACACCCUACGGGGAAAAGGGGGCGCUUGCGCUCUCGCUAUUGGAUGAGCCUAAGUCGGAUUAGCUAGUUGGCGGGGUAAAGGCCUACCAAGGCGACGAUCUGUAGCUGGUCUGAGAGGAUGAUCAGCCACACCGGGACUGAGACACGGCCCGGACUCCUACGGGAGGCAGCAGUGGGGAAUAUUGGACAAUGGGGGCAACCCUGAUCCAGCCAUGCCGCGUGUGUGAAGAAGGCCUUUUGGUUGUAAAGCACUUUAAGCAGUGAAGAAGACUCUAUGGUUAAUACCCAUAGACGAUGACAUUAGCUGCAGAAUAAGCACCGGCUAACUCUGUGCCAGCAGCCGCGGUAAUACAGAGGGUGCAAGCGUUAAUUGGAAUUACUGGGCGUAAAGCGAGCGUAGGUGGCUUGAUAAGUCAGAUGUGAAAUCCCCGGGCUUAACCUGGGAACUGCAUCUGAUACUGUUAGGCUAGAGUAGGUGAGAGGGAGGUAGAAUUUCAGGUGUAGCGGUGAAAUGCGUAGAGAUCUGAAGGAAUACCGAUGGCGAAGGCAGCCUCCUGGCAUCAUACUGACACUGAGGUUCGAAAGCGUGGGUAGCAAACAGGAUUAGAUACCCUGGUAGUCCACGCCGUAAACGAUGUCUACUAGUCGUUGGGGAACUUGAUUCCUUAGUGACGCAGCUAACGCAAUAAGUAGACCGCCUGGGGAGUACGGCCGCAAGGUUAAAACUCAAAUGAAUUGACGGGGGCCCGCACAAGCGGUGGAGCAUGUGGUUUAAUUCGAUGCAACGCGAAGAACCUUACCUGGUCUUGACAUAUCUAGAAUCCUGCAGAGAUGCGGGAGUGCCUUCGGGAAUUAGAAUACAGGUGCUGCAUGGCUGUCGUCAGCUCGUGUCGUGAGAUGUUGGGUUAAGUCCCGCAACGAGCGCAACCCUUUUCCUUAGUUACCAGCGGUUUGGCCGGGGACUCUAAGGAUACUGCCAGUGACAAACUGGAGGAAGGCGGGGACGACGUCAAGUCAUCAUGGCCCUUACGACCAGGGCUACACACGUGCUACAAUGGUAGGUACAGAGGGCAGCUACACAGCGAUGUGAUGCGAAUCUCAAAAAGCCUAUCGUAGUCCAGAUUGGAGUCUGCAACUCGACUCCAUGAAGUCGGAAUCGCUAGUAAUCGCGGAUCAGAAUGCCGCGGUGAAUACGUUCCCGGGCCU